rnacentral:tRNA from 1 species
CUGGCCCGCUGGCUGGGAGUGGAGGCGGUGCUGCUCUUUGGUAGCGGCUAUCUGGCCAAUCUGGGGGUCAUCUCCACGCUGGUCGGAC